GGCCUAACACAUGCAAGUCGAGGGGUAGUAUGAGAGUAGCUUGCUACUCUUGAUGGCGACCGGCGCACGGGUGCGUAACACGUAUCCAAUCUACCCAUGGUCUCCGGGAUAGCCUUUCGAAAGAAAGAUUAAUACCGGAUGGUCUGUGAUUGAGACAUCUCGACCACAGUAAAGAUUUAUCGGCGAUGGAUGAGGAUGCGUCCGAUUAGGUAGUAGGCGGGGCAACGGCCCACCUAGCCUACGAUCGGUAGGGGUUCUGAGAGGAAGGUCCCCCACAUUGGAACUGAGACACGGUCCAAACUCCUACGGGAGGCAGCAGUGAGGAAUAUUGGUCAAUGGUUGGAAAUACCGAACCAGCCAAGUAGCGUGAGGGAUGACUGCCCUAUGGGUUGUAACCUCUUUUGUUUGGGAUAAAGUGUCCUACGUGUAGGACUCUGUAUGUACCAUACGAUAAGCAUCGGCUAAUUCCGUGCCAGCAGCCGCGGUAUACGGAGAUGCGAGCGUAUCCGGAUUUUUGGUUUAAAGGGAGCGUAGCGGCUGUAAGUCAGCGGUAAAUGUCAUUGCCCACAUGGCAUGCCGUGAUACUGGUG
rnacentral:rRNA from 1 species